AUUUAAAUAGUUUAAUAAAAACAUUGGUCUUGUAAACCAAAAUUAAAAAAUCUUUUUUUUAAAUA
rnacentral:tRNA from 1 species